rnacentral:sRNA from 1 species
GAGCACAACAUUUCAUGGCAUCAAUUGAAGUGGCAGAAGUUGAAUCAGUCAGUGACAGUAUAUUGAGAUAAAUUUGGUUGAUCAAAGACAUGUCAAGGAAAUUUAAUUGAAGAAACAGCUGCCUCAGACCACUGUUUCUCAACAAUUUCAUUUGUGAUUGAAGAAGUGUUGCAGACUUCAGCUUACUUCUGACCCUCUUUAUAACUCCUCCUCUGUACAGAAGUAGAUUUGAAGCAGAUUAAGAUGUUUUUCAAACUGAGAGGUGCUGACCUGUCCGAUCUUAUAGAUGUAUGAUAACUACAAAUUCAUUGCAUGCAUCUGAUAUAUUUAAACCUUGAUGAGGGGCCAGGGCUUUGAUACUUUUCUUGAUUGAUGUGUUGAUGUUGUAGCUGCCAGAGGACAGGAUGUGAAACAGUGAAAGGGUAUUUCAGACAUGC